UCAUGAUUAGAAUAUAUUUUCAGCACAUAUGAUUAUAAUGCCUGUUAUCAUAGUAUGCAGUGAUAUUCUCUUCCUGGUAGUUUGUGGUUAAAUGCAUUGCUUUUCUGAAUUUGCAAUGUGCUGCAGGCAUGUGCAGAACAACAGGCUAACCGGGACACUCGAUGUGCUGCGUGAUCUUCCCCUGAAAGACGUGAAUGUGGAGAACAAUCAGUUCGCAGGAUCAAUCCCAGAGAAGAUGCUCAACAUCCCAAAAUUUCU